rnacentral:lncRNA from 1 species
AACCUUUGCUGUCUUGGAACAGAUCACCACUGCAAGAGGGGAAGUUGCUACUGUGAUGAAUUCUGCCAUGUGGUACCAGACUGCUACCCAGACCACAGUGUCCUCUGCAACCCUCCUUCUCAGAUGACCAAGAUGGUGCUGCAGAUGGUGCUGAGGAUGGAGAACCCACCAAGCCCCGCUAGGAGCCACCUAGACUGGAUGUAGAGCAUGGUGAGCUCCCUGCAGGUUCUCUGAGAAGGGGUGGAUGGCAGCCUGCUCCUUGCCUUUGUGGCCUCCAGACCCCAAAGUCAGGGAACCAAAAGAAGAAAGGGGCCAUAGCUAGGGCAGAGCUCCACUGCAAUGAUUGUUUUAGGGGUAGGAGCCAGGAUUGCUGUCUGUGGACACUGAAAUUUGAAUCUCAUAUACUUUUCAUGUGUGACAAAACAUUAUUCUUCUUUUGUUCUUCUCCUACCAUCUAAAAAUGUAGAAAACAUUCUUAACCUAUGAGUUGCACAAAAACAGGCAGUGGCCAGAUUUGGCCCAUAGACCAUAGUUUGCUGACUUCUGCCCUAAAUCAUCCUCCAUUUCUUUCCUUCUGUGUCCUUGUUACUGACAAAGCCACUUUCCCUAAAAUGGGGUCUUUCCCUGUUUGGUGCCAUGAAGCCAAUAUGCAAAACCGAAAGUGAGCCUCAAGCAGUACAGGCUUUAUUUGGUGGCCAUGGAAUUGAGAAGUGAGAGCUUGGCUCACAAAUCAACUUUUCUGCUCGUGAGACCCAGGAAGUCACAGAUACAGGGCAUCUUUAGUGAAGGGGCUGAGCAUUAAAAGCAAGGGGAGGAGUGGCCAGGUGCAAUGGCUCACUCCCAUAAACCCAGAACUUUGGGAGGCCAAAAUGAGAGGAUUGCUGAGACCAGGAGUUUGAGACCAUCCUGGUCAACAUAGUGAUACACCCCCAUCUCU